GACGUAGGGCGCGAGCGUUGUCCGGAUUUAUUGGGCGUAAAGAGCUCGUAGGCGGCUUGUCGCGUCGUCCGUGAAAACCUGGGGCUCAAUCCAGGCUUGCGGUCGAUACGGGCAGGCUAGAGUUCGGUAGGGGAGACUGGAAUUCCUGGUGUAGCGGUGAAAUGCGCAGAUAUCAGGAGGAACACCGGUGGCGAAGGCGGGUCUCUGGGCCGAUGACUGACGCUGAGGAGCGAAAGCGUGGGGAGCGAACAGG
rnacentral:rRNA from 1 species